UGACCUCAAAUCAGGUAGGACUACCCGCUGAACUUAAGCAUAUCAAUAAGCGGAGGAAAAGAAACUAACAAGGAUUCCCCUAGUAACUGCGAGUGAAGCGGGAAAAGCUCAAAUUUAAAAUCUGGCAGUCUCUGGCUGUCCGAGUUGUAAUCUAGAGAAGUGUUAUCCGCGCUGGACCGUGUACAAGUCUCCUGGAAUGGAGCGUCAUAGAGGGUGAGAAUCCCGUCUUUGACACGGACUGCCAGGGCUUUGUGAUGCGCUCUCAAAGAGUCGAGUUGUUUGGGAAUGCAGCUCAAAAUGGGUGGUAAAUUCCAUCUAAAGCUAAAUAUUGGCGAGAGACCGAUAGCGAACAAGUACCGUGAGGGAAAGAUGAAAAGAACUUUGGAAAGAGAGUUAAACAGUACGUGAAAUUGCUGAAAGGGAAACGCUUGAAGUCAGUCGCGUUGGCCAGGGAUCAACCUUGCUUUUGCUUGGUGCACUUUCUGGUUGAUGGGUCAGCAUCAAUUUUGACUAUUGGAAAAAGGUCAAGGGAAUGUGGCAUCUUCGGAUGUGUUAUAGCCCUUAGCUGCAUACAAUGGUUGGGAUUGAGGAACUCAGCACGCCGCAAGGCCGGGUUUUUAACCACGUACGUGCUUAGGA
rnacentral:rRNA from 2 species